UCAGAUGGGUGUGCAGGUCAAUAUAAGAAUUACAAAAAUAUGUUAAAUCUUUGUUUCCAUUGUAAAGAUUUUGGUUUUACUGCUAAAUGGAACUUUUUUGCAACUAGUCACGGUAAGCAACCUUGUGAUGGGAUAGGUGGUACAGUCAAACGUCUGGCAACACUAGCAAGUUUGCAAAGAGAUAUAGAAGAUUUAACUUUGGUGAGAACCGCUCUUAAAGAACGAUUGGAUACUGCUAAUACGAUACCUGGAACACGUAGUUAAUAUCAUAUUGUACCACUUGGCCAUCAAAUGAAGAAAAAGAUGUGCUUGUAAAAUUUAUGUGUCCUAAUGGUCCUUGACGGUCGUUUAAAUGGCCAUCAAAGGAAAGCCAAUGCUGGAUUCCUGAUGUCCACAUUAUUUGCAAAGUUGAGAAAAGUUAUUGUUCCAGAGAAACAGAAAUCGGGCACCUUGGUCACGUAAGCCUGGAUACAAAAUACCAUAAACAUUUACCAUCUCUACUCUAAAUGUAGUGGAAGUUGGGUUACAGUAGAUCGAGGGGCACAGUGAAUAAUAGUCAUUUUCUCAAAGAUAUGGCUGGAAAAAGAGAUAAAGACAGAAGAUUAUCUAAAAGAUCUUUAUUUGGAACGCAAGCGUUUAUCAACAUACAUCGUCAAAAACGUUUUUCUUUAUCUCAAAGAAACAUAGAAACUGUAGAAUCUAGAGGUCAAUCUGGCGGCAGUAAUACAUAUUCAGUUUCGAACUCUGAUACUGACGAUGAUAAAAUUAUAAAAUCAGUUUGUAAAAUGAAGCCAUUGUCCAUUAAGUCACUUUUUUCAUUUGUUUCCGAAGCUAAUAAAUAUAUAUGUGUCCAGAAAAUGGAAAACUUAUAUGUGGGCCUGAGCCAAAUCUGCGAAAACAUAUAUUUCAUAUUCAUAAAAAACCGGAGUACCUUUACGAUUCUCAAAAAAAAAAAUUGCUCAAGAUCAAUUCCUCGAAACGCAGAACAGAGAUGAAAUAGAUGAAGCCAUAAUAAAUUGUAUUAUUCAAGAUAGCCGCCCUUUCAACGAUUUUCAUAAACCUGGUAUGAAACUCCUUCUAAACAUUCUUGCUUCGCAUUACAAGCCGCCUCAUAGAAAGACAAUAGCUGAUCAAUUAAGAAAACGGUAUUAUCAAUACAAGAACGAUCUUAAAGCUAAGCUUAAAUUAGUUGCCUACAUAGCACUAGCAACAGAUUUGUGGAAAAAUUGAGUUGGAUCGUAUUGGUUUGCAUAACAGCGCAUUACUUAACAAAAAAAUUUAAAUACAAAUCAAAAAUAGUUUGUUUUCGUAGGUUUUAUGGAAGGCAAUUAAGUAAUAGACUUACAGCAUUUGUACAAAAAGAAAUUAAUAAACUUGAAAUUGAAUCUAAAAUUAUUUCAAUUACAAUUGACAACGCUGAAGAUAUUAAAAAGGCGAUGGGAUCUAUUGCUUUACGACUUUUAUGCAUUUGUCAUAAUUUAAAUCUUGUUUUGAACCAUGGAAUCAAAUUGUGGACUAAACCAUCUCAUAACUUAUUAGAUAGCACAGCAGAUGUAGAUGAAGAUUUUAUAUAUUACAAUAAAUUUUAUAUAUUUUAUAUAUUACAAUAAAUAUAAUGAAAGCGAUAUCAAAUCAAAUGGAAAUCAUCUGACGAUCAAGAAGAAAUUGCAUGCACUUAAUACAAAGAAGACAUUAGCUCAGAUGAUGAAGAAAGUAGCAAGGAGGAGCAGGCGUCAACAAAUGAAAAUAUUGAACAGUUAUUCAUUUAUUCAUCAAGCAUAUUAUUCAGGUUAAGAAAGACGAUAGCUAAUGUUAAACAAUCUUCUGUUUUGCAAUCAUUUGUUUUUAGUGAGAUUAAGAAGCAGGGACUGAAAUUAAAAAACUUUUCGUCAGAUUUUCAUGUACGUUGGAACUCAACGUUUUUGAUGAUUAGUAAGAUAAUAAAAGCGAAAUAUGUUUAUAAUAAAAUUACCAUAGAUCCUGGCACUAUGGGUUAACAGAAAAACAGAUUAAUAAACUCAAGAAACUAGCUUUGUUAUCAGAUGACUGGAAGUUCCUAGACAUUUUACAUUAUAACCUUGCUCCAUUUUUUGAAGCAACUAAACUUCUCUCUACUAAAAAUUUUCUAACACUUUCUUCAGCAAAAUUCGUCCAAAAUACGUUAAUGAACUUUCUUGAAAAUGAAUCUUCAGCUAAAUGUUUUUUUUUUCAACCAUCUCCUACGGUGGAAAGAGAGAACAUGUUACGAGCUAGUCUUCUCAAGUUCAUGAAGGUAUACUUUGUUGAAAAGAUGUCUACAAAACAAAAGCUGCAAAGUUUGCUAGCAUGUUUCUUUGAUCCGAGAACAAACGAGUGUCUUACAGAAAAAGAAUAUCAAGAAGCAAAAAGCAAACUUAUGAAAAAAUUUGCAAAGUCAGCACUCCGACAAUCCUCGAAGAUCAACGCAUACAAACAUUUGUUUGCAAAAUGAACAAAAUUAUUCGAGAAGUGAUAUGAUUGAUUCAAGUAAUGAUGCUCAAUUUCAUGUUUCACCUGAAGUUCCUGUUAAACGCAAAAAUGGGUUUGCUAAGCUUGCAACAUUGUGUGGUUUUAUUCUUUGCGAAGAAAAAACACAGUCAAAGCGAAAUAUAAAAGAGGAGUUAUCCUUUUUCAAUUAUACUAUAAAAGCAAAAACUUGGAAAUUCGAUGAAUUUUGGUACAAGUAUAUUAAAGCCUAUUAAAAUGACUAAUACUUUUUAUAAAACUAUAAAAACUAAAUACUUUUUUAUAGAAUAUAUAUUAAGCAAAAAAAUCAUUAUAAAAAUUAGAAAAAAUAAUUUUAAGUAGAAAAGAGGAAGAGAGGAGUUCAGAA